GUCCCUGGGAGCAGCGUGGUGGCGCGCAGGGCGCGGGUCUCGGCGGCAGCGGGCGAGCGCCGGGACCGCGGAGGCCACGCUGUGAGUGCGGUUGUCCGUUCGUCCCCGGGGAUGCCGUUGACUGCAGCAGCCUCAGGCUUGCGUGGGCUGUCUCUGCCUGGCCUCCCUCUCCUCGAGGCGCGGGAGCACAGAGGGACAGGCGGAGCGCUUACUGGCUGUGGACGGGAGCUGCUGAAGCUGGAGAGGCCACAGAAAGGUAAAGCUGCUGAAGAAUAAAAUAAAGAGGAUCCAGCCAGCAGCUGCAGACAGGAGAUAGCCUGCCUCUCCAGGUGGAUGACAGUCAAGUGACUGCAGCUACAGAGGAGGAAGGGAGAGGGAGAGAGAGACAGACAUGUCUGAACUGUCAAAUUCUCCCAGCAGCUCCAAGAGCGGGAGGUACAGUGAGUCCUGGACCCCUGGGGCUGUGUCACCCCUCUUCUGCAUCCCAGUCCC